CAGUUCUAAGAAGACAAAGGUUUAUGAAGAAUACAGCUUAUGUCUCUACAUGAUAUUGACCCUCUGAAUUCAUCAGAAGAUAUUCUGAAGCCUGAAACAUAAGAUAAAAACCAGUGGCCGUUUGUUCUACUAGUCAACAAAGACUAGUAUCUUUCCGUUCUAAGUUCAUCAUUGAAUGAGAUUGUUCUUCUGAUUAGAGUAGAAAACUGAAGGUUCAUGAUUAUCUAGGUAAGAUACACACAAGAAUUUUGGCCCACAUAAACAAAUGAUUUGAGCUAAAGAGUUUGAAAGUAUAAAUUUAGAUUUCUGCAUGAAUAAAAAAAAGAAAAAAAAACAGCUUUUGACUUUUUCAUUAUGUAACCACAAAAGAUUCCUUUGAUGGUACUACAGAUGUCAUCACCCUUAAAAGUACAACACAUGUGCAUGCACACAGACAAUGUGUAUUUCUACCUGUAUCUCCUCUUGUGACUGGAAACUAAGAUGGAUGGAGUGAGGGAGAAAGAAGGCAAGCUAUGCUGUCUGUAUCUCUAAAGGUCAGCUAUAUCCUAGGGUGUUCUAUUUAUAAAACACAUGCUCCAUUUUUUUGUUUGUGGAGCAUCAGUAAGGUUUGUAGACUAUUUCAGAGAAACUGUGAAGAUGAUGAUUCAUUGCAUAGCUUAUUCUCUAGAUGCCUCAGCCCCAGAUCUUGUCUUCUCCGUGUUACAAAUUAAACUUGAGCUACCAAGUGUAGUAUACUCCUCAUCUCUAGUAAUUCAUGCUCUUUCUUUUGGGUAUCGUUAUUAGUGAUUCUCUUGACGUAUUUUUUUAAAUGCUCACUCUCUGCUUGGUGUUUGAGACAAUGAAUGAAUAAGAUAAUUAAUCAAAUAAAUGUGUCACCUUUCCUUGG
rnacentral:lncRNA from 1 species